UUGAGAUUCGUGCGUCAUGAACCUGAGGCCCUAACGUUGAGGAAAAAUUUGCACAAGACACAACCAGCCGCCCGCGCUGCGCCGCUCUCACAAAUCACAACCAGCCGCAUGGCACCUGCACUUCUGGCUUGAGAUGGAUCGCUCCAUUUCUCCGGCAGACCAGCCCGCGACCCGUUCGAUGAAAUGCGCGGCCGGGGCGCUGGGCACUACCCGACCUUCUUGUCCGACGACGGCGCGUUGCUUCUGAAUGUUUACGAAAAUCACACUGUCAAGUAAGUCGUGGGAUGACCGUGGGAUCCACGAACACCAAGACAGAGACCAAACUAGUUUCUCCGAUCUCUCAAGUUCACUUGCUGCCCAGGGCGGUUUGAAGACGGUGAAAGGUGGUUGUGGGCCCCACAUGUUGGUGACCUGAACUCGUGAGAACCACACAAUCAGUUUUGGAGCAGUUCCAGUUCUCCUGAUACCAAUCUUUACAGCUCCAUGAUCAGGCAGCUCCGGCACAUCCACAUCAGCUUCAGAAGGAAACCACGCACCCAGUUUCCUCCAGUCAAGCGUGAGUCCAGCUCAGAACCUAACAAUAAUGAUCAACUGGAAACCUCCGCCACAUGGCGACUAGCAUCGAAAUGAUCCAGGUGUGGACAAGUCUGGCACCCUUGUAGACCUGGCCUGGUUGAACUCUGACGCAACGAAGAUUCGUGUGGUGUGAAACUGGACAGAGCUGCGGCCUAGAGAACGGACGGCCUUUUUUUCUCAGGGAAGACCAGAAUGAACUACUAGUUGGUGAACAUCCAAAAAGAAAAAAAAACAAGUUAGUUGACGUUAACAAAACGUGAGCAGUAUGCUAAGGCCCGAAGUCCUACUCAAAUAAGAGAAUCGUUGCAAAACUUUCUGUCUUUGACAAAAAGAAUUGGCU